AAAAAGGGCUUCUGUUGUGAGUGGCACACAUAGGGCAGCUCGUUUGCUCUACGUGUGGAAUCGACAUCAAGAGAUUUCGGAAGCAUAAUUUUUGCUAAUAGGGCAGCUGGUGAUCGUUGGUCCUGGCGCCCUC
ensembl:snRNA